GUAGCCUAGUGGUUAGAGCGUUGGACUAGUAACCGGAAGGUUGCGAGUUCAAACCCCCGAGCUGACAAGGUACAAAUCUGUCGUUCUGCCCCGAACAGGCAGUUAACCCACUGUUCCUAGGCUGUCAUUGAAAAUAAGAAUUUGUUCUUAACUGACUUGCCUAGUAAAAUAAAGGUAAAAUUAAAAAAAUACCAAUAACACAAUCUUUAUCAGAAUGUACAGGCAAUAAAAGUUGUACUCUGGUGUGUUGCCAUGGAAACAUUAUUCCUGAAUAUAAUGAAUCUAUCUAUGUACCAUGAAUUAAACUUCCUCUUACACUGACCAUAAUUUAUAAUAAACUGUCUGAUAUCCAUGAA